UUGAAUACGCUUGGGUGCUGAUGCUGGCCUUUUUCGGAGGGCAUGUGCUCGCACUCAACUAUUUAUCUUCUCUUGUGCACCUGUUGUAGUCUUUUGAACGUCUCUCCGCUGCAAAUGUGGGUUGGGAGGCAUGAAUGCUUUCAUUUGUGUUUGUGCCUCUGGUUCGAAAGACUAUGUUUUCAUAUCACGUUUAGUAUGUUACAGAAUGUCUUUUUAGUGGCUUCGGCCAUUAACCUUAUA
rnacentral:misc_RNA from 1 species